rnacentral:tRNA from 4 species
GAUUGGCUAGCUCAGCUGGUAGAGCAUCUCCCUUUUAAGGAGAGGGUCCUGGGUUCGAGCCCCAGGCCAAUCA